rnacentral:lncRNA from 1 species
GGGCGGCCUCGGUGGGCGCGGGGGGCCAGCGGCGCCGGAGAGUGGCGCGCUCGCGGAGACGUCGGUCGAGUCCGGGAUCCCGGCGGAGCAGCGACGAGGCCGCCUCGUCAGCGCCCGCGUCCUCCGAGCACGUCCAGUGUCCCCAGCCUGGCGAUCAGGUAGCGAACAGCGCAACUCCGCGACGCUUCGGCUCCCGCCUGGGACUGAGACGCCGGCGAGUUGUAGUUGUCCGACACCCGGGGGGGACGCGCACUCGCUGUUGCAAUUGAUUACGGAAAAACCAUGACAGGUUUCUGAG